rnacentral:misc_RNA from 1 species
AAUAGAAAUCCUAAGUAACUCUAAUUAGGAUUACUAAAUAAGAUAAAUUAGGAAAUAAUAGACCUAAUAAUAAUAAAAUUCCUAAAAAAUAAAAGGUUUUUAAAUUUCCUAAUUGUAUAGUAAUUAAAAUUCUAAAAUAAAACUUUAAGCUUCCUAUAUUGCAUUUUCAGGGUUCUAUACUUCUAUUGGUAACUCAGGGUUCUCACUUUGGAUUGCUGCUUUCAUCAGCCCUUGGCAUUAUAAGGGGU